GCAAUCGACCACAGGACUGGGAAUGCAGGUCUUCCCGUUCGCUCAGACGUACUUAAGCCCAGUACCGGCCGGUUAGUACUAAGUUGGGGGACCACUUGGGAAUCCCGGCUGUCGAUUGUU
rfam:Cladophialophora immunda strain CBS 83496 unplaced genomic scaffold supercont1.3, whole genome shotgun sequence.